UACGUAGGGUGCGAGCGUUGUCCGGAAUUACUGGGCGUAAAGAGCUCGUAGGUGGUUUGUCACGUCGUCUGUGAAAUUCCGGGGCUUAACCUCGGGCGUGCAGGCGAUACGGGCAAUACUUGAGUGCUGUAGGGGAGACUGGAACUCCUGGUGUAGCGGUGAAAUGCGCAGAUAUCAGGAGGAACACCAAUGGCGAAGGCAGGUCUCUGGGCAGUUACUGACGCUGAGGAGCGAAAGCAUGGGUAGCGAACAGGAUUAGA
rnacentral:rRNA from 1 species